ensembl:misc_RNA 7SK 7SK RNA
GGAUGUGAGGGCGAUCUGGCUGUGACAUCUGUCACCCCAUUGAUUGCUAGGGUUGAUUCGGCUGAUCUGGCUGGCUAGGCGGGUGUCCCCUUCCUCCCUCACUGCUCCAUGUGCGUCCCGAAGCUGUGCGCUCGGUAGAAGAGGAUGGUCUUCCCCGAAUAGAGACGGACCAGUCUUCGAUUGAGGGUAUACGAGUAGCUGCGCUCCCCUGCUAGAACCUCUAAACAAGCUCUCAAAACAUCUAAGUUGACCAUAAAGAUAGCUCACCUAUGAGGGCACUUUCAAACCAGGGGGCAACACAGGUUCAAGUACCUUGUAU